rnacentral:rRNA from 1 species
CUAACUGGAGGACCGAACCGACUAAUGUUGAAAAAUUAGCGGAUGACUUGUGGCUGGGGGUGAAAGGCCAAUCAAACCGGGAGAUAGCUGGUUCUCCCCGAAAGCUAUUUAGGUAGCGCCUCGUGAACUCAUCUUCGGGGGUAGAGCACUGUUUCGGCUAGGGGGUCAUCCCGACUUACCAACCCGAUGCAAACUACGAAUACCGAAGAAUGUUAUCACGGGAGACACACGGCGGGUGCUAACGUCCGUCGUGAAGAGGGAAACAACCCAGACCGCCAGCUAAGGUCCCAAAGUCAUGGUUAAGUGGGAAACGAUGUGGGAAGGCACAGACAGCCAGGAUGUUGGCUUAGAAGCAGCCAUCAUUUAAAGAAAGCGUAAUAGCUCACUGGUCGAGUCGGCCUGCGCGGAAGAUGUAACGGGGCUAAACCAUGCACCGAAGCUGCGGCAGCGACACUAUGUGUUGUUGGGUAGGGGAGCGUUCUGUAAGCCUGCGAAGGUGACCUGUGAGGGUUGCUGGAGGUAUCAGAAGUGCGAAUGCUGACAUAAGUAACGAUAAAGCGGGUGAAAAGCCCGCUCGCCGGAAGACCAAGGGUUCCUGUCCAACGUUAAUCGGGGCAGGGUGAGUCGACCCCUAAGGCGAGGCCGAAAGGCGUAGUCGAUGGGAAACAGGUUAAUAUUCCUGUACUUGGUGUUACUGCGAAGGGGGGACGGAGAAGGCUAUGUUAGCCGGGCGACGGUUGUCCCGGUUUAAGCAUGUAGGCUGGUUAUCCAGGCAAAUCCGGAUAAUCAAGGCUGAGGUGUGAUGACGAGGCACUACGGUGCUGAAGUAACAAAUGCCCUGCUUCCAGGAAAAGCCUCUAAGCAUCAGGUAACAUCAAAUCGUACCCCAAACCG